AUUGAACGCUGGCGGCAUGCUUUACACAUGCAAGUCGAACGGUAACAGGGAGCUUGCUCCGCUGACGAGUGGUGAACGGGUGAGUAAUGUAUCGGAACGUACCCAAGAGUGGGGGAUAACGUAGCGAAAGUUACGCUAAUACCGCAUACGAUCUAUGGAUGAAAGUGGGGGACCUUCGGGCCUCAUGCUCCUGGAGCGGCCGGUACCUGAUUAGCUAGUUGGUGAGGUAAAGGCUCACCAAGGCGACGAUCAGUAGCUGGUCUGAGAGGACGACCAGCCACACUGGGACUGAGACACGGCCCAGACUCCUACGGGAGGCAGCAGUGGGGAAUUUUGGACAAUGGGGGCAACCCUGAUCCAGCAAUGCCGCGUGAGUGAAGAAGGCCUUCGGGUUGUAAAGCUCUUUUGUCAGGGAAGAAACGGUUCAGGCUAAUAUCCUGGGCUAAUGACGGUACCUGAAGAAUAAGCACCGGCUAACUACGUGCCAGCCGCCGCCGUAA
rnacentral:rRNA from 1 species